UACGUCCCUGCCCUUUGUACACA
rnacentral:ncRNA from 2 species